UACGGAGGGUGCGAGCGUUGCUCGGAAUCAUUGGGCGUAAAGCGUACGCAGGCGGCUUCCUAAGUCGGGUGUGAAAGCCCAGGGCUCAACCCUGGGAUUGCGCCCGAGACUGGGGGGCUUGAAUGCGGGAGAGGGAAGCGGAAUUCCUGGUGUAGAGGUGAAAUUCGUAGAUAUCAGGAGGAACACCGGUGGCGAAAGCGGCUUCCUGGCCCGACAUUGACGCUCAUGUACGAAAGCGUGGGGAGCAAACAGG
rnacentral:rRNA from 1 species